UACGAAGGUGGCAAGCGUUACUCGGAAUUACUGGGCGUAGAGCGCGUGUAGGCGGGAAACUAAGUCAGGGGUGAAAUCCCAGAGCUUAACUCUGGAAUUGCCUUUGAAACUAGUUUUCUUGAGUAUGGUAGAGGAUGGUGGAAUUUCUAGUGUAGAGGUGAAAUUCGUAGAUAUUAGAAGGAACACCAGUGGCGAAGGCGACCAUCUGGACCAUUACUGACGCUGAGACGCGAAAGCGUGGGGAGCAAACAGG
rnacentral:rRNA from 1 species